rnacentral:rRNA from 1 species
GACAGAGGGGGCAAGCGUUGCUCGGAAUCACUGGGCGUAAAGCGCACGUAGGCGGCUUUUUAAGUCAGGGGUGAAAUCCUGGAGCUCAACUCCAGAACUGCCUUUGAUACUGAGAAGCUUGAGUCCGGGAGAGGUGAGUGGAACUGCGAGUGUAGAGGUGAAAUUCGUAGAUAUUCGCAAGAACACCAGUGGCGAAGGCGGCUCACUGGCCCGGUACUGACGCUGAGGUGCGAAAGCGUGGGGAGCAAACAGG